UACGAAGGGGGCUAGCGUUGCUCGGAUUGACUGGGCGUAAAGGGCGCGUAGGCGGUUCGUACAGUCAGACGUGAAAUUCCUGGGCUCAACCUGGGGGCUGCGCUUGAUACUGAUUGGCUUGAAUGCGGGAGAGGAUAGUGGAAUUCCCAGUGUAGAGGUGAAAUUCGUAGAUAUUGGGAAGAACACCAGUGGCGAAGGCGGCUAUCUGGCCCGUUAUUGACGCUGAGGCGCGAAAGCGUGGGGAGCAAACAGG
rnacentral:rRNA from 1 species